GACGAACGCUGGCGGCGUGCUUAACACAUGCAAGUCGGACGGAAAGGCCCUGCUCUUGUGGGGUGCUCGAGUGGCGAACGGGUGAGUAACACGCGAGUAACCUGCCCUUGACUUUGGGAUAACUUCAGGAAACUGGGGCUAAUAUCGGAUAGGAGCUCCUGCUGCAUGGUGGGGGUUGGAAAGUUUCGGCGGUUGGGGAUGGACUCGCGGCUUAUCAGCUUGUUGGUGGGGUAGUGGCUUACCAAGGCUUUGACGGGUAGCCGGCCUGAGAGGUUGACCGGCCACAUUGGGACUGAGAUACGGCCCAGACUCCUACGGGAGGCAGCAGUGGGGAAUAUUGCACAAUGGGCGGAAGCCUGAUGCAGCAACGCCGCGUGCGGGAUGACGGCCUUCGGGUGGUAAACCGCUUUCUCCUGUGACGAAGCGUGAGUGACGGUAAUGAGUAAAGAAGCACCGGCUAACUACGUG
rnacentral:rRNA from 1 species